GGGGGACCAUCCUCCAAGGCUAAAUACUCCUGACUGACCGAUAGUGAACCAGUACCGUGAGGGAAAGGCGAAAAGAACCCCGGCGAGGGGAGUGAAAAAGAACCUGAAACCGUGUACGUACAAGCAGUGGGAGCCCCACCACUAAGCCAGUGGUGAACUCCACAUACGCAUCCUUUGCUGAGGAGACGGUUAACGGAGCGAAAGCGACGUUCAACCUCAAAAGAAGCAGAGGGGGCUUAGUGGUGGGGUGACUGCGUACCUUUUGUAUAAUGGGUCAGCGACUUAUAUUCUGUAGCAAGGUUAACUGUAUAGGGGAGCCGGAGGGAAACCGAGUCUUAACCGGGCGUUAAGUUGCAGGGUAUAGACCCGAAACCCGGUGAUCUAGCCAUGGGCAGGUUGAAGGUUGGGUAACACUAACUGGAGGACCGAACCGACUAAUGUUGAAAAAUUAGCGGAUGACCUGUGGCUGGGGGUGAAAGGCCAAUCAAACCGGGAGAUAGCUGGUUCUCCCCGAAAGCUAUUUAGGUAGCGCCUCGUGAAUUCAUCUCCGGGGGUAGAGCACUGUUUCGGCUAGGGGGCCAUCCCGGCUUACCAACCCGAUGCAAACUGCGAAUACCGGAGA
rnacentral:rRNA from 1 species